ensembl:lncRNA
UGGUAGUAGGGUGGUGGAUGUCUAGUGUCCCUUAUGGCUCUAAUAUGAUAGUGGUAGUAGGGUGGUGGAUGUCUAGUGUCCCUUAUGGCUCUAAUAUGAUAAUGGUAGGGGGGUGGUGGAUGUCUAGUGUCCCUUAUGGCUCUAAUCUGAUAGUAGUAGUGGGGGGUGGCAGAUUCCUAGUGUCCCUUAUGGCUCUAAUCUGAUAUGGUAUGUAGGGUGGUGGAUGUCUAGUGUCCCUUAUGGCUCUAAUAUGAUAAUGGUAGUGGGGUGGUAGAUUCCUAGUGUCCCUUGUGGCUCUAAUAUGAUAAUGGCAGUAGGGUGGUGGAUGUCUAG